CAUCUUUUCUUGUUAGUUUUUGAAGUAUGGCCUGCCCACUGACUUAGAGUUGAAGGGCCGCGGUAUUUUGACCGUGCAAAGGUAGCAUAAUCAUUAGUUCUUUAAUUGUGAUCUGGUAUGAAUGGCUUGACGAGACAUAAGCUGUCUUAGGAGUAUUGAUUUAUUGAAUUUGGUUUUUGAGUUAAAAUUCUUAAAUGUUUUUAUGGGACGAGAAGACCCUAUAGAGUUUGACAAUUUUCCUAUUUAUUCGUUGUUUGUUUUAUUUACAUUGAGUGGGAGUGAAUUGUUUUGUUGGGGUGAUGGGAGGAAUAUUGUUUAACUCCUCUUUAUUUUUAUAUAUUUAUGUAUAUAUUUUUGAUCCAUUUAUUUUGAUUAUAAGAUUAAAUUACCUUA
rnacentral:rRNA from 1 species